rnacentral:lncRNA from 1 species
AAUUAAACUUUAAUAAAAUCCUAAUUAAAUCUUAAAUAAAUUUUAUUCAAAUCCUAGACAAUACUUAAUCAAAUCUUAAGAAAAUCCUAAUGAAAUCCUAAAAAAAACCUAAAUUCUAAUCUUACAUCAAAUCCUUAUGAAAUUCCAAAUCUCAAAUAAUGUCAAGAAAUUUCUCUUUAAAUUUUAAUCAUCAAUUAAAGCUA